rnacentral:rRNA from 1 species
AUUGAACGCUGGCGGCAGGCUUAACACAUGCAAGUCGAGCGGGGUGAUGGUGCUUGCACUAUCACUUAGCGGCGGACGGGUGAGUAAUGCUUAGGAAUCUGCCUAUUAGUGGGGGACAACAUCUCGAAAGGGAUGCUAAUACCGCAUACGUCCUACGGGAGAAAGCAGGGGAUCACUUGUGACCUUGCGCUAAUAGAUGAGCCUAAGUCGGAUUAGCUAGUUGGUGGGGUAAAGGCCUACCAAGGCGACGAUCUGUAGCGGGCCUGAGAGGAUGAUCCGCCACACUGGGACUGAGACACGGCCCAGACUCCUACGGGAGGCAACAGUGGGGAAUAUUGGACAAUGGGGGGAACCCUGAUCUAGCCAUGCCGCGUGUGUGAAGAAGGCCUUAUGGUUGUAAAGCACUUUAAGCGAGGAGGAGGCUCUUUUGGUUAAUACCCAAGAUGAGUGGACGUUACUCGCAGAAUAAGCACCGGCUAACUCUGUGCCAGCCGCCGCGGUAA